rnacentral:rRNA from 1 species
GACGAACGCUGGCGGCGUGCUUAACACAUGCAAGUCGAACGGAAAGGCCCUGCUUUUGUGGGGUGCUCGAGUGGCGAACGGGUGAGUAACACGUGAGUAACCUGCCCUUGACUUUGGGAUAACUUCAGGAAACUGGGGCUAAUACCGGAUAGGAGCUCCUGCUGCAUGGUGGGGGUUGGAAAGUUUCGGCGGUUGGGGAUGGACUCGCGGCUUAUCAGCUUGUUGGUGGGGUAGUGGCUUACCAAGGCUUUGACGGGUAGCCGGCCUGAGAGGGGGACCGGCCACAUUGGGACUGAGAUACGGCCCAGACUCCUACGGGAGGCAGCAGUGAGGAAUAUUGCACAAUGGGCGGAAGCCUGAUGCAGCAACGCCGCGUGCGGGAUGACGGCCUUCGGGUUGUAAACCGCUGUCGCCUGUGACGAAGCGUGAGUGACGGUAAUGGGUAAAGAAGCACCGGCUAACUACGUG